rnacentral:tRNA from 1 species
GGCCGGCUGGCGCAAUGGUAGCGCGUCAGACUUCUAACUUGGAUUACGGAGUGAGGUAAAUCUGAAGGCUGCGGGUUCGAGCCCCGCGUUGGUCA